AGCAGCCGCGGUAAUUCCAGCUCCAAUAGCGUAUAUUAAAGUUGUUGCAGUUAAAAAGCUCGUAGUUGAAUUUCGGGAUCAAUGCGUCGGUCGUGCUUUCGGGUACGUACUGGUGUCAUUGGUUUCUCCUUUCUGACGAGCCGUGAUGUCAUUAAUUUGGUGUUACGGGUAGUUAGGACUGUUACUUUGAAAAAGUUAGAGUGUUUAAAGCAGGCAUUCGCUUGAAUACAUUAGCAUGGAAUAAUGAAAUAGGACGUUUGACCCUAUUUUGUUGGUUUCUAGGAUCAACGUAAUGAUUAAUAGGGAUAGUUGGGGGCAUUAGUAUUCAAUUGUCAGAGGUGAAAUUCUUGGAUUUAUUGAAGACUAACUACUGCGAAAGCAUUUGCCAAGGAUGUUUUCAUUAAUCAAGAACGAAAGUUAGGGGAUCGAAGACGAUCAGAUACCGUCGUAGUCUUAACCAUAAACUAUGCCGACUAGGGAUCGGAUGAUGUUAAUUUUUAAUGACUCAUUCGGCGCCUUA
rnacentral:rRNA from 1 species